rnacentral:rRNA from 1 species
GUUGAACGCUGGCGGCGUGCCUAAUACAUGCAAGUCGAGCGAACAGACGAGGAGCUUGCUCCUCUGACGUUAGCGGCGGACGGGUGAGUAACACGUGGAUAACCUACCUAUAAGACUGGGAUAACUUCGGGAAACCGGAGCUAAUACCGGAUAACAUGUUGAACCGCAUGGUUCAACAGUGAAAGACGGUCUUGCUGUCACUUAUAGAUGGAUCCGCGCCGCAUUAGCUAGUUGGUAAGGUAACGGCUUACCAAGGCAACGAUGCGUAGCCGACCUGAGAGGGUGAUCGGCCACACUGGAACUGAGACACGGUCCAGACUCCUACGGGAGGCAGCAGUAGGGAAUCUUCCGCAAUGGGCGAAAGCCUGACGGAGCAACGCCGCGUGAGUGAAGAAGGUCUUCGGAUCGUAAAACUCUGUUAUUAGGGAAGAACAAAUGUGUAAGUAACUAUGCACGUCUUGACGGUACCUAAUCAGAAAGCCACGGCUAACUACGUG